rnacentral:rRNA from 1 species
CCUACGGGUGGCAGCAGUGAGGAAUAUUGGUCAAUGGGCGCGAGCCUGAACCAGCCAAGUAGCGUGAAGGAUGACUGCCCUACGGGUGGUAAACUUCUGUUAUAAAGGAAUAAAGUGAGGCACGUGUGCCGUUUUGUAUGUACGUUAUGAAUAAGGAUCGGCUAACUCCGUGCCAGCAGCCGCGGUAAUACGGAGGAUCCGAGCGUUAUCCGGAUUUAGUGGGGUUAAAGGGAGCGUAGAUGGGUUGUUAAGUCAGUUGGGAAAGUUUGCGGCUCAACCGUAAAAUUGCAAUUGAUACGGGCAGCCUUGAGUACAGUUGCGGUAGGCGGCAUUCGUGGUGUAGCGGUGCAAUGCUUCGCUCUCAC